GGUGGCUCAGUGGUAAAGUGUUUGCCUUGCAUGCAUAAGGCCCUGGGUUCGAUUCCUCAGCACCA
rnacentral:tRNA from 1 species